GUUCGGUUCGAACCGAAUGCUCACUCUUUACAGAAAGCAAAUUUACUAUUCAUAUAUGGUAGUAAAUUCUCUGAUUAUGUGCUUAUUUUGAUAAUUCCUUUCCAAGGUGUCAAAAUUAUUGAUCAACGAAUUUUAAUUCUCAGUCUUUUCAAAUCUGUGUUAAAAAGAUGGGAAUGGAUGAUAUUAUCAACAUUAGGUUGUAUGGGGAGCCAAAUCAACAGAAAUAAGGUAUCUCAAGAUUGGUUUUCUUGAUAAUGAACCUUGUAGUGUUAUGACCAAUUUUUUGUUCUCAAUUUAUUAAAACGAAGAUGACCAUGUGAAGUCAUUACAAUACCAUGUGAAGUCAUUACAAUUUUUUAUUAAAACUAAGAUGACAAUAAGUUUGCUUGGAUUUGCAUGGUGAGUGAGCUAGGAAUUAUCUCUCAUCCAUUUUGACCUUCAGUAAACUUAGUAGUUUGAAACUGAACCAUAUAAAUGCUUACUUAUGACAAAAGCCAAUAAUGCUGUCUAGGUUGACGAAAAUGAGAAGGUAGUUUAAGGAAUGAGUUGAUGAUAAAUUUCAAAUUGAUCUUUCUCUUCCCUUCCUUGUCUUUUUGAGUGCAUUACAGACGCUCUCAAUUUCAAAUCGCAUUGUAGAUUUGCCUUAUUGAAGGGCUUUUUUUUCUUGAUAAAACUAACUAUUCAAUCAAGAGUCUGUUUUCUUCUAAGUUUUCCUAAUUUGUGAAGACAAUUUAACUUUUGGCAGCUAAGAUAAGAAGCUUAUGAUCCUUUUCUGUUUUGGCAGUUUUUAGACACAAUAAAUGGGCAACGGGGAUCUAAAAGGCAAUGCUUGCGGAGGACACUGACAGGCCCUUGGUAGAGCUCAUAUUAUUGAUUGUGGACAGUAGUAGAGCUUGAGAAUGCAGUCUUCGCCAUUUGUGUGUAGGGAUUGGAGGGUGCAGCUUUCACCUGCAUCUUAUACUUUGAAGGAUAGGUAGCUGUAUGUAUAGGUACAGAGAGUUGAGUUGUAAAUUAUGACUUGA
rnacentral:misc_RNA from 1 species